rnacentral:rRNA from 1 species
UACGGGGGGGGCAAGCGUUGUUCGGAAUUACUGGGCGUAAAGGGUUCGUAGGUGGCCAAUUAAGUCAGACGUGAAAUCCCUCAGCUCAACUGGGGAACUGCGUCUGAGACUGGAUGGCUUGAGUGCAGGAGAGGAACGCGGAAUUCCAGGUGUAGCGGUGAAAUGCGUAGAGAUGCGGAGGAACACCGAUGGCGAAGGCAGCCCCCUGGGCUAACACUGACGCUCAGGCACGAAAGCGUGGGGAGCAAACAGG